rnacentral:rRNA from 1 species
CCUACGGGCGGCUGCAGUGGGGAAUAUUGCACAGUGGGCGCAAGCCUGAUGCAGCCAUGCCGCGUGUGUGAAGAAGGCCUUCGGGUUGUAAAGCACUUUCAGCGGGGAGGAAGGCGGUGAGGUUAAUAACCUCAUCGAUUGACGUUACCCGCAGAAGAAGCACCGGCUAACUCCGUGCCAGCAGCCGCGGUAAUACGGAGGGUGCAAGCGUUAAUCGGAAUUACUGGGCGUAAAGCGCACGCAGGCGGUCUGUCAAGUCGGAUGUGAAAUCCCCGGGCUCAACCUGGGAACUGCAUUCGAAACUGGCAGGCUAGAGUCUUGUAGAGGGGGGUAGAAUUCCAGGUGUAGCGGUGAAAUGCGUAGAGAUCUGGAGGAAUACCGGUGGCGAAGGCGGCCCCCUGGACAAAGACUGACGCUCAGGUGCGAAAGCGUGGGGAGCAAACAGGAUUAGAUACCCGGUAGUC